rnacentral:tRNA from 1 species
GCGGAUGUGGCGAAACUGGUAGACGCGAUAGGUUUAGGACCUAUUGACUGCAAGGUCUUGGGGGUUCGAGUCCCUUCAUCCGCAC